CUUUAUGAUCAACUCUCCUGGGUUAAGGUCUUCAUCUAGUACAUUUUAAUGUAUAUUUUUAUGUUACGGCUAAAUUAACUUGGACCAAGUGUUUUUAACUUACACUAAGAGUGUUUUAUGAUAAGAACUUAAGUCGUCCCGUGCCACUAUCUCCUCCCACCAGCCUCUGGUAUGGCUGCGGAUACAAACAUUUGCACAAUUAUUAAGUUUAGUUCCUGUUAUGUUUCUUAGAAGAGAAUGGAAUAUGCCCAAUAUUUUCAGAUGAACAUUGAAUGGUGUGCAUUCCAGAAAAUGCAGGCAUGAUAAACACAAUGUUAGUAGAUUGCCAUAAGGUAUAAUUAGGGGAAAUGUAUUAUGUGAUGCUCAUGAUGAAUCCCAUUUGUAAUACCGAACACUUUUGGGAAGAGCAAUACAAACCUAAUUGUUUCUGGAGUACUUGAAGUUUAUCAAAUGUUACACAAUGUCAGUCUAGAACUGUCUAGAACUUGUUCUCAACUGGCCUACCUGGUUAAAUAAAGGUGAAAUAAAAUACGUUAACAUUAAACACAGAUGAAGUCUUAAAGAUAGUUUGCUUUUAUUCACUCUGGGAGAUGAGGAGCUCAGCGUGUGGCCUGAUUUCAUGGUUCUGCAAAUAUGACUGAUUUCUGUGUUUAGUGGAAUUAUGGUAUACCAAUUUUACAGUCUGUGACUGUGAAUAACACAGGUUUUGCAGUUUCCAGUGUCAUUUAGAAAAGCAUGUUGAAUCUGUCAAGUAUUUACAGGAGUGAUAAUGCUUUUGUCAUAGCAACUUUAAAGGUGUCUGAAGAAACUGGGAUGCCAUAACUUUUACAAGGAACAGCGAAGGGCUGAGAGGAGUUCCAAACAGCUGGGGCAAGGGGAAGUUGAGCUAUGCAUUUUUUCCUGAUAUAAGGAAUGUGCCUAAAACCAAAGUAUGGAAGAGGCAAUUUAGGAAUGCGUUGUGAAGCAUAAACUAGGCCACAGUUUGGUUCUCUGAAAUACUACAUUUUGAUCUGUAAAUCUCUAUUCUGC
ensembl:lncRNA